AGUACGUAGCACCCUUUACUUGUCCUUGAGUGCUUCGAAGAUUAUGCAAAAUUUUGUCUUCAAAUUAGGGUUCGCAGAGAUUUUCACCCAAGUGAUUGAGUAUCGGAAUUCCUUCCUGCAAAUCGCGAGACGGUACGAGAUCUUGUUGUUUAAUUCGAAGGUGUAAUAUGAUGGCCGAUUGUGGUGCUGAAAGAGAAAGGAAAGUUACGAUACGCAACAACCAUGGCGAAAAUCUCGUGGGGAUCUUACAUAACGCGGCUUCAAUUUCGCUUGUUAUCGUGUGCCAUGGCUUCCAAUCUUCCAAGGAAAGGAUUCCCAUGGUGAACCUUGCUGCUGCUCUAGGAAAAGAUGGAUUCAGUGCUUUCCGCUUUGACUUUGCAGGAAAUGGGGAAAGUGAAGGUUCAUUUCAGUAUGGUAACUACUACAGAGAGGCUGAAGAUCUGCGAGCUGUAGUUCAACACUUCUGUGAGCAGAAAUAUGCAAUUAAAGCAAUUGUUGGUCACAGUAAAGGGGGUAAUGUGGUGCUCUUAUAUGCCUCAAAAUAUAAGGAUAUUCAUAUUGUAGUCAAUAUAUCUGGCCGGUUCAAUCUAGCGAGAGGCAUGGAAGGUCGUUUGGGCAAAAAAUUUAUACAAAGGAUCAAACAAGAUGGAUAUAUAGAUGUUAAGAAUAAAAGAGGGAAGAUUAUGUACCGUGUUACUGAAGAAAGUUUGAUGGACCGCCUAUCUACUAUAACCCAUCUUGCCUGCUUAUUGAUUCCCCAAGAUUGCAGUGUGUUGACAAUUCAUGGAUCCAUGGAUGAAAUUGUACCUGCAGAAGAUGCUUUAGAGUUCGCUAAGUUCAUAUCUAAUCAUGAAUUGUGCUUCAUAGAAGGAGCUGAUCAUGAAUAUACUUAUCAUCAAGAUGAGUUGACCAGCUUAGUUUUGGAAUUCAUCAAGAUUCAUAUUGACAAAGACAAAGAUACAUCGAAGCAGGCACGAUUUGGAAGAGUACAUAAACCUAUUCAUUCCCGGUUGUAGUUUGUGCAAAUAUGUGUAGAUCCAGUAUUUCUUUUGAAACCAUCUUUCUUACAAAUAAAGACACAGCCUUCAUAAAUAGAUCACCAAGAAAAGAUGGACGAACCUCAUCCCAUUUCUAACAUUCCAAGUGCCCACCUGAGAGCCGAUAAUUAGCAUUUGCAAGAGUUAAAAGAAUAUUGACAAUGCUAAGUUUCUCACAAUUAAACCUCAAUAGUACCCAUCUGACAAGUAUUGUUGCAUCAUCAUAGCCACCGCCAAAAGAAUAUUGACAAUGCUAAGUUUCUCACAAUUAAACUUCAAUGGUACCCAUCUGACAAGUAUUGUUGCAUCAUCAUAGCCACAUGCCGGGUUGUCAAUCUGAAUUUAAACUCUUAUGACUACUGUUAAAAGUUUAUGCUCUUGCAGUUACUACAGAUGAGUGAUGAAAUGAAUAAUUGGACAUAACAAGCAUGAACCUGGCUCAUCUGGUGGAUAUGAUAUAUGAAGCACUGCUGAUUGAAUGUUGGUUAUCACAGAUUUCAGACUAUACAGACUGCCGUGUAAAAAUUUACUUAUGGCCAUAACAUUAUGUCCAUUUCCUCUAUGUCCACCAUAAUUCUUUCCUUUUCAUUACCUCUAUAUUCUUUUGGGAUAAACAUGAACUCAACUCAAUAUCAUAUUUCAGAAUUUUGUUCAGAAAAGACUAUAAAAGUGCAACUAUGGUCUAGGUUCAAACUUGCUUCUCGUAUGCUUCUUCUGCCUCCAAAUAAAAUAUAGAAUAUGAAUGGAUGGGGAUAGAAGAGAGGAAGCAAGGGAAUGGGAUGGAAGCUCAUUCCCACUAUUAGGAAAGAGACUAGGAAAUGGACGGGGGGACACUCGCUAUCCACUUUGGGGAGUUUGGUCUGUGGUCACCAAAAGAUAUAAGCUUCUGUACUUUGAUCUAAUAAUAAAUACAUCAAAACUUUCAUUCAAUGUUCAUUUUUUA